rnacentral:piRNA from 1 species
UACCCAUUUCAUAAUGAACCUCUUUGUACUU